GAAUUCACUAGUGAUUCAGGCCUAACACAUGCAAGUUGAGGGGUAGGGCACUUCGGUGUUUGAGACCGGCGCACGGGUGCGUAACGCGUAUGCAAUCUACCUUAUAGUAAGGGAUAGCCCAGAGAAAUUUGGAUUAAUACCUUAUAGAAUAUCAAAAUGGCAUCGUUUAGAUAUUAAAGAUUUAUUGGUAUAAGAUGAGCAUGCGUCCCAUUAGUUAGUUGGUAAGGUAACGGCUUACCAAGACGAUGAUGGGUAGGGGUCCUGAGAGGGAGAUCCCCCACACUGGUAGUGAGACACGGACCAGACUCCUACGGGAGGCAGCAGUGAGGAAUAUUGGUCAAUGGACGGAAGUCUGAACCAGCCAUGCCGCGUGCAGGAUGAAGCAUCUAUGGUGUGUAAAGUGCUUUUGUACGGGAAGAAAAAACAUUACGUGUAAUGUACCGACGGUA
rnacentral:rRNA from 1 species